AGACGCCAAAUUUAAACUCACGACGAAAAAAUAAUACAAUAUAAAUACUAAAAUCGAUAAUCGAAAUGAACAAAAUCCAAACUUGGAAUUUGUAUGAUCGAUCGAUAUUCAAACGGAUGAAAAAUUGCACACCCCUAAAGUCGAACUUUGAAGAUGUACAUAUCAAAUAGCAAGUGCAUCGUUAUCGUAAUAAAGUGCAUAAAGGCGUUAAGUUAAUGUAUACAUCUCCUCUAUUUCCCAGGAAGAAAAGACUUGGUACAGGUAAAAAAUACCUGGGAUCUUUCGACAAAUCAAUUGAACUGUUGGUAUUACGAUCCGCAAAUUCGUACCUACCCAAUUAUUGGAACAUAAGACGAGUGAGACAAAACAAUGUAAGUACAUUCUUUUACAUUAUUAAAAUCAUCCAUCAGAUUCACAAUCAUAAAUAAGCUAUAAAUUUCGAAACCUCAGUAAAUCCAGGUCAAAAAGUAAUAUAAUUUCCAAAAAAAAGUAGUAUUCCCCAUUUUAAAAAAAAAACCAACAUACGUCAAAUAAUUCUAAAAAACGACUUUGCAUGAAAAAUAAUUUCCAUUUCAAACUAUUACAAUCUACACCUAAGGAGGUAGGGGUAUGAUUUUCUCCUCAAAUAGGUACGAAUUAUACGCAGCAACGUAGUAAUUAAGUAGGUACACAGUAUUGCAACAAAUAAUAACAGACUUGUUCAGAUCAACAAAACAAUGCAAACAAUUUUAAUCCACCUAUUUCACUUAAAUACCUAUUGACAGUUUGACGCGAAUUAUUCCGUUAAAAAAUUUCCAAUCAGACGAAAAACCAACAAACUCUAUCAUGAGGAUCAAAAUCGUUGCCAAUUUUUAUUCUUCAGUGAUCGUGUUACUGAGUCUAGUGCUUAUUUUACCGACGGUCAUUUUCGGUUCGCAAGUUCAACAAAUUGACAAAUCGAAGAAUUUGAUCUCCCACCAACAUCAAUCCGCACAUCACAAGCCAGCAUGUUGUUACAGAAAUCCAACUUGCUCAGUAAAAUGCAGACUGCAUCAUCACCAUUCGUAACUCGAAUCCAUUUAAUGGUUUAAAACGGAAUUCCGGUAAUUCAUCGCAAGAAAAAGUUAUUCAAAUAACACGAAAUCAAAAAGAUGAUAAUUACUGAACAGAAAAAAAUAUGAUUUAAAAAUAUGACCAUCAUCUUUUGUAUUAAAUACCAAACAUGGAAAUAAAUAAUUUUUGCUCUUA